rnacentral:rRNA from 1 species
GAUGAACGCUGGCGGCGUGCCUAAUACAUGCAAGUCGAGCGAACGGACGAGAAGCUUGCUUCUCUGAUGUUAGCGGCGGACGGGUGAGUAACACGUGGAUAACCUACCUAUAAGACUGGGAUAACUUCGGGAAACCGUAGCUAAUACCGGAUAAUAUUUUGAACCGCAUGGUUCAAAAGUGAAAGACGGUCUUGCUGUCACUUAUAGAUGGAUCCGCGCUGCAUUAGCUAGUUGGUAAGGUAACGGCUUACCAAGGCAACGAUGCAUAGCCGACCUGAGAGGGUGAUCGGCCACACUGGAACUGAGACACGGUCCAGACUCCUACGGGAGGCAGCAGUAGGGAAUCUUGCACAAUGGGCGAAAGCCUGACGGAGCAACGCCGCGUGUGUGAUGAAGGUCUUCGGAUCGUAAAGCUCUGUUAUUAGGGAAGAACAUAUGUGUAAGUAACUGUGCACAUCUUGACGGUACCUAAUCAGAAAGCCACGGCUAACUACGUG